rnacentral:rRNA from 1 species
UGGGGAAUUUUGCACAAUGGGGGAAACCCUGAUGCAGCGACGCCGCGUGAUUUAGAAGGCCUUCGGGUUGUAAAAAUCUUUUCUAUGGGAAGAAAAUGACAGUACCAUAGGAAUAAGGACCGGCUAAUUACGUGCCAGCAGCCGCGGUAAUACGUAAGGUCCGAGCGUUGUCCGGAAUCAUUGGGCGUAAAGGGUACGUAAGCGGGUAAGCAAGUUAGAAGUGAAAUCCUAUAGCUCAACUAUAGUAAGCUUUUAAAACUGCUCAUCUUGAGGUAUGGAAGGGAAAGUGGAAUUCCUAGUGUAGCGGUGAAAUGCGCAGAUAUUAGGAGGAAUACCGGUGGCUAAGGCGACUUUCUGGCCAUAACCUGACGCUGAGGUACGAAAGCGUGGGUAGCAAACAGG